rnacentral:rRNA from 1 species
UGGGGAAUAUUGGACAAUGGGGGCAACCCUGAUCCAGCAAUUCUGCGUGUGUGAAGAAGGCCUGCGGGUUGUAAAGCACUUUCAGUAGCCAAGAUGGGAUUAAGUGUUAAUACCACUUAGUCUUGACAUUAACUACAGAAGAAGCACCGGCUAACUCCGUGCCAGCAGCCGCGGUAAUACGGAGGGUGCAAGCGUUAAUCGGAAUUAUUGGGCGUAAAGAGUACGUAGGCGGCUUUUCAAGUCGGAUGUGAAAUCCCUGAGCUUAACUUAGGAACUGCAUUCGAUACUGAAUCGCUAGAGUUUAUUAGAGGAUAGUGGAAUUUCAAGUGUAGCGGUGAAAUGCGUAGAUAUUUGAAGGAACACCAAUGGCGAAGGCAGCUAUCUGGAGUAAUACUGACGCUGAGGUACGAAAGCGUGGGGAGCAAACAGG